rnacentral:rRNA from 1 species
CCUACGGGAGGCAGCAGUGGGGAAUAUUGCACAAUGGGCGCAAGCCUGAUGCAGCCAUGCCGCGUGUGUGAAGAAGGCCGUCGGGUUGUAAAGCACUUUCAGCGGGGAGGAAGGCGGUGAGGUUAAUAACCUCAUCGAUUGACGUUACCCGCAGAAGAAGCACCGGCUAACUCCGUGCCAGCAGCCGCGGUAAUACGGAGGGUGCAAGCGUUAAUCGGAAUUACUGGGCGUAAAGCGCACGCAGGCGGUCUGUCAAGUCGGAUGUGAAAUCCCCGGGCUCAACCUGGGAACUGCAUUCGAAACUGGCAGGCUAGAGUCUUGUAGAGGGGGGUAGAAUUCCAGGUGUAGCGGUGAAAUGCGUAGAGAUCUGGAGGAAUACCGGUGGCGAAGGCGGCCCCCUGGACAAAGACUGACGCUCAGGUGCGAAAGCGUGGGGAGCAAACAGGAUUAGAUACCCGAGUAGUC